UCUUCUCCGAGGUUGUUUGGAAUAGUUAUCUCAUAAAUGGCUGGGGCAAGGAAAUGUGGAGAUCAGCCAAAGGCUGAUAGGAUGAUAUGGGAGAAGGAACAAUACAAAUCCCAUUUAGAGAAAGCAAAUGAACAGUAUAUACUUUAGUGCUUUUUCAGUUUUAUUAUUUUAUGUCCAUUAUUGGGAAGAAAGCUAAGAGUUUAAACAGCAGGUUUUAUUCAUUGAAAAUAUAUAUAAAUAUAUGUUUCAUACUUGACAGUAUAGAUGCAGCCUACUCAGAAAUCACGAUCACUAUCAUAACAUGACUGAUAUAUUCAAAGAUUACACCAAAGUCAUGUUAUGAUAGUGA
rnacentral:sRNA from 1 species